rnacentral:rRNA from 1 species
GAUGAACGCUGGCGGCGUGCCUAAUACAUGCAAGUCGAGCGAACAGAUAAUGAUCUUGCUCCUUUUACGUUAGCGGCUGACGGGUGAGUAACACGUGGGUAACCUACCUAUAAUUCUGGUAUAACUCUGGGAAACCGGUGCUAAUGCCGGAUAACAUUUAGUACCGCAUUGUUCUAAAGUGAAAGAUGGUUUUGCUAUCUCUUAUAGAUGGACCCGCGCCGUAUUAGCUAGUUGGUAAGGUAACGGCUUACCAAGGCAACGAUACGUAUCCGACAUGAGAGGGUGAUCGGCAACACGGGAAGUGAGAAACGGACAAGAGGACGACGGGAGGCAGCAGAAGGGAAUAUGCCGCAAGGGGCGAAAGCAUGACGGAGAAACGCCGAGUGAGUGAUGAAGGUCUUCGGAUCGUAAAACACUGUUAGUAGGGAAGAAAAAAUGUGUAAGUAACUGUGCACGUCUUGACGGUAACUAAUCAGAAAGCAACGGCUAACUACGUG